rnacentral:rRNA from 1 species
GAUGAACGCUGGCGGCGUGCCUAAUACAUGCAAGUCGAACGCUUUGUGGUUCAACUGAUUUGAAGAGCUUGCUCAGAUAUGACGAUGGACAUUGCAAAGAGUGGCGAACGGGUGAGUAACACGUGGGAAACCUACCUCUUAGCAGGGGAUAACAUUUGGAAACAGAUGCUAAUACCGUAUAACAAUGACAACCGCAUGGUUGUUAUUUAAAAGAUGGUUCUGCUAUCACUAAGAGAUGGUCCCGCGGUGCAUUAGCUAGUUGGUAAGGUAAUGGCUUACCAAGGCGAUGAUGCAUAGCCGAGUUGAGAGACUGAUCGGCCACAAUGGGACUGAGACACGGCCCAUACUCCUACGGGAGGCAGCAGUAGGGAAUCUUCCACAAUGGGCGAAAGCCUGAUGGAGCAACGCCGCGUGUGUGAUGAAGGGUUUCGGCUCGUAAAACACUGUUGUAAGAGAAGAAUGACAUUGAGAGUAACUGUUCAAUGUGUGACGGUAUCUUACCAGAAAGGAACGGCUAAAUACGUGCCAGCAGCCGCGGUAAUACGUAUGUUCCAAGCGUUAUCCGGAUUUAUUGGGCGUAAAGCGAGCGCAGACGGUUAUUUAAGUCUGAAGUGAAAGCCCUCAGCUCAACUGAGGAAUUGCUUUGGAAACUGGAUGACUUGAGUGCAGUAGAGGAAAGUGGAACUCCAUGUGUAGCGGUGAAAUGCGUAGAUAUAUGGAAGAACACCAGUGGCGAGGGCGGCUUUCUGGACUGUAACUGACGUUGAGGCUCGAAAGUGUGGGUAGCAAACAGGAUUAGAUACCCUGGUAGUCCACACCGUAAACGAUGAGUGCUAGGUGUUUGAGGGUUUCCGCCCUUAAGUGCCGCAGCUAACGCAUUAAGCACUCCGCCUGGGGAGUACGACCGCAAGGUUGAAACUCAAAGGAAUUGACGGGGACCCGCACAAGCGGUGGAGCAUGUGGUUUAAUUCGAAGCAACGCGAAGAACCUUACCAGGUCUUGACAUCCCUUGACAACUCCAGAGAUGGAGCGUUCCCUUCGGGGACAAGGUGACAGGUGGUGCAUGGUUGUCGUCAGCUCGUGUCGUGAGAUGUUGGGUUAAGUCCCGCAACGAGCGCAACCCUUAUUACUAGUUGCCAGCAUUCAGUUGGGCACUCUAGUGAGACUGCCGGUGACAAACCGGAGGAAGGUGGGGAUGACGUCAAAUCAUCAUGCCCCUUAUGACCUGGGCUACACACGUGCUACAAUGGCGUAUACAACGAGUUGCCAACCCGCGAGGGUGAGCUAAUCUCUUAAAGUACGUCUCAGUUCGGAUUGUAGGCUGCAACUCGCCUACAUGAAGUCGGAAUCGCUAGUAAUCGCGGAUCAGCACGCCGCGGUGAAUACGUUCCCGGGUCUUGUACACACCGCCCGUCACACCAUGAGAGUUUGUAACACCCAAAGCCGGUGGGGUAACCUUCGGGAGCCAGCCGUCUAAGGUGGGACAGAUGAUUAGGGUG